rnacentral:tRNA from 3 species
AGGCUUGUAGCUCAGGUGGUUAGAGCGCACCCCUGAUAAGGGUGAGGUCGGUGGUUCAAGUCCACUCAGGCCUACCC